rnacentral:rRNA from 1 species
AUGAAGACUCGCGAAUACUCUUCCAUAGAAGAAUAUUUCAAAGCGAGGACAAAUGUCCAAAAGUUGCAGGUAGUAUCAAGAGAGAUCUUGAAGAAAUGUGGUGGUGUACCAUUAGCCAUCAUUACAAUAGCUAGCCUACUUGCUAGUAAUCAACGGGUAAAGCAAAAAUAUGAGUGGAUGCAUUUGCACAAUUCGAUUGGCCGUGGAGUUACACAAGGUGAUAUUGUGAAGGAGAUGAACAGGAUAUUAUCACUCAGCUAUUAUGAUUUGCCAUCUCAUCUGAAGCCUUGUUUAUUAUAUCUAAGCAUCUUUCCUGAAGACUUUGAGAUUAAUAGAGAUUGGCUGAUAUGGAGGUGGCUUGCUGAAGGGUUUAUCCAAUGUGACAAAGAAGAAACCAGGCUGUUUGAGAUCGGAGAGAGCUACUUCAAUGAGCUCAUGAACAGGAGCUUGAUCCAGCCAGCGGAAAUCAAUGAUGAAGGAACGGUAGUAACUUGCCGUAUACAUGAUAUGGUGCUUCACCUUAUAUGCUCACUGUCAAGUGCGGAAAAUUUUAUCUCCAUAUUGAAUAAUGCUGAGUGGCAUGCACCUAAUCUGCAAAGGAAGUUUCGCGGAUUAUCACUUCAUAAUAUCAAGGCAAAGGUUCAGAACCAUCAGUUUGAUAGCACUAGCCUGUCAAAAGUGACGACCUUUGCUGUUUUUUCUCCCGUUGCUUGUGAUUGGUUGCCAUCUCUCUCAAGCUUCCAAUUUUUACGUGUGCUGGAUCUUGGAAAUUGUGGCAGCCGUGAAAGUAGCUCUGGUCUCAACCUCAAGUAUGUUGGGAAUUUGAUUCACCUAAGGUACUUAGGGCUCAAGGGUGCAGAUGUUCACGAACUCCCAGUGGACAUAAGCAAGCUGCAGCUUUUGCAGAUACUGGACAUACAAGGAACUAGAAUAAAUGAGUUACCUGCAAGUAUUGUUCAACUAAGAAAUUUGAUAUGCCUAUCUGUCGAUAGUGGCUUGAGGCUGCCAAAAGGAAUGGGGAACUUGAUGUCCCUUGAAGUGCUGGAACGAGUAGGCUUAUCCUCAUCUCCUCACAUUGUGGAAGAGUUGAGGCAUCUGACAGAGGUUAUGACACUCAGUAUUAACUGUGAUAACAUGGACGAGGAUCUGAUUGAUAUAUUAAUCAAGUCUCUAGGCAAACUGCACAAAUUGCAAAAUCUGCAUAUUGAUGAUGGUGGCAGAUUGAUAGAUUGCAUGUGUGAAAGUUGGGUGCCCCCUCCAAACCUUCGUAGUUUUGAUUCAUGGGACCCCUUCUUUUUCUUUUCGUCGUUAUGCAGACUUCCAAAGUGGGUCAAUUCAAGGUCGCUUCCCCACCUCUCCAGCCUGGCCAUAGAUGUGGAAGAACUGCAAGGGGAUGACGUUCAGAUCAUUGGGAUGCUGCCUGCUCUUCGGUCUCUGCGACUUGCUGCAAAACGAGUGAUGGGAACGUUGGUUGUGAGGGCCGAUGCAUUCCAAUCUGCGAGAUGCUGCAAGUUCUACGGGUUUCUGACUUGGCCAUGCCUUUUUCCACCUGGAGCUAUGCCAAGGGUUCAACACCUUGAGUUCUGGGUAUCUUAUUGGUCGAUCGCGAUUGGUGAGGUUGACUGUGGCAUGAACCACCUCCCUUCUCUCGAGCAUGUCGAUGAAGAGGUGGAUAUAGCCAAGGCUUUGCUGAGGCGCGCAACAGAAGCCCAUCCAAAACGUCCCACCAUUGAAAUCUAUUCGACAUAA